rnacentral:rRNA from 1 species
UUGGGCGUAAGCGCGCGCAGGCGGCUUCUUAAGUCUGAUGUGAAAGCCCACGGCUCAACCGUGGAGGGUCAUUGGAAACUGGGAGGCUUGAGUGCAGAAGAGGAGAGCGGAAUUCCACGUGUAGCGGUGAAAUGCGUAGAGAUGUGGAGGAACACCAGUGGCGAAGGCGGCUCUCUGGUCUGUAACUGACGCUGAGGCGCGAAAGCGUGGGUAGCGAACAGGAUUAGAUACCCUGGUAGUCCACGCCGUAAACGAUGAGUGCUAAGUGUUAGGGGGUUUCCGCCCCUUAGUGCUGCAGCAAACGCAUUAAGCACUCCGCCUGGGGAGUACGGCCGCAAGGCUGAAACUCAAAGGAAUUGACGGGGGCCCGCACAAGCGGUGGAGCAUGUGGUUUAAUUCGAAGCAACGCGAAGAACCUUACCAGGUCUUGACAUCCCGCUGGCCGGUCUGGAGACAGAUCUUUCCCUUCGGGGACAGCGGUGACAGGUGGUGCAUGGUUGUCGUCAGCUCGUGUCGUGAGAUGUUGGGUUAAGUCCCGCAACGAGCGCAACCCUUGAUCUUAGUUGCCAGCAUUCAGUUGGGCACUCUAAGGUGACUGCCGGUGACAAACCGGAGGAAGGUGGGGAUGACGUCAAAUCAUCAUGCCCCUUAUGACCUGGGCUAC